AAAACAUCUGGACCGUCGGUCUACCGAGCAAUAUCACCCGCUCGUUGGAGGUCUUCCUUUCGUCCU
rnacentral:pre_miRNA from 1 species